rfam:Terribacillus aidingensis strain MP602, complete genome.
UGGGCUAUAGCCAAGCGGUAAGGCAGCGGGUUUUGGUCCCGUUAUCGUUGGUUCGAAUCCAGCUAGCCCAG